rnacentral:rRNA from 1 species
AACGCCGCGUGGAGGAAGAAGGUCUUCGGAUCGUAAACUCCUGUCAGGUGGGACGAAGGUACGUCGGCGAAUAGUCGGCGUGCUUGACGGUACCGCCAGAGGAAGCCCCGGCUAACUCCGUGCCAGCAACCGCGGUGACUGAGCGGGCUGGCAAGGCGCAUA